CACCGCGGUUAUACGAGAGGCCCAAGUUGACCCAAGCCGGCGUAAAGAGUGGUUAAUGUAGACUAAACUAAAGCCGAACACCUUCAAAGCUGUUAUACGCACUUGAAGACAAGAAGCCCUUUUACGAAAGUGGCUUUAAGCAAUAUGACGCCACGAAAGCUAUGGAA
rnacentral:rRNA from 1 species